UACGUAGGGAGCGAGAGUUAUCCGGAUUUACUGGGUGUAAAGGGUGCGUAGGCGGUUUGUUAAGUCAGAAGUGAAAUUUAGGGGCUCAACCUCUAAGCUGCCUCUGAAACUGAUGAACUAGAGUGUGGGAGAGGAAAGUGGAAUUCCGAGUGUAGCGGUGAAAUGCGUAGAGAUUCGGAGGAACACCAGUAGCGAAGGCGGCUUUCUGGACCAUAACUGACGCUGAGGCACGAAAGCGUGGGGAGCAAACAGG
rnacentral:rRNA from 1 species